rnacentral:rRNA from 1 species
UAGGGAAUCUUCCACAAUGGACGCAAGUCUGAUGGAGCAACGCCGCGUGAGUGAAGAAGGUCUUCGGAUCGUAAAACUCUGUUGUUAGAGAAGAACACGAGUGGGAGUAACUGUUCAUUCGAUGACGGUAUCUAACCAGCAAGUCACGGCUAACUACGUGCCAG